rnacentral:rRNA from 1 species
ACUCAAUAGAUACCCCGGUAGUCCACGCCCUAAACGAUGUCUACUAGUUGUUGGUGGAGUAAAAUCCAUGAGUAAACGCAGCUAAACGCGUGAAGUAGACCGCCUGGGGAGUACGGUCGCAAGAUUAAGACUCAAAGGAAUUGACGGGGGCCCGCACAAGCGGUGGAUUAUGCGGAUUAAUUCGAUGCAACGCGAAAACCUUACCUGGCCUUGACAUGCCACUAACGAAGCAGAGAUGCAUUAGGUGCCCGUAAGGGAAAGUGGACACAGGUGCUGCAUGGCUGUCGUCAGCUCGUGUCGUGAGAUGUUGGGUUAAGUCCCGCAACGAGCGCAACCCUUGCCAUUAAUUGCCAUCAUUUAGUUGGGCACUUUAAUGGGACUGCCGGUGACAAACCGGAGGAAGGUGGGGAUGACGUCAAGUCCUCAUGGCCCUUAUGGCCAGGGCUUCACACGUAAUACAAUGGUCGGUACAGAGAGUUGCCAACCCGCGAGGGGAGCUAAUCUCAGAAAGCCGAUCGUAGUCCGGAUUGUUCUCU